UUGACAGGUUCUUUCUUAUACUCUGAAAUGUAAGAAUUUUAUGUUCUCAGUAAGAAGAUAGAGAAGAAAGAUACCACCUAAAAACUUGGGGAUUUUCAGGCCAAAAUUUGAGAUUACGUUGAUCUUCUGGAUAUACGACCUGAAUGCAACCCCAAGUGUUGAGAGCUGAAUGAAGUUUCUCUAGUUCUUGUGCAACCUCUGAAGAAGUUGUAAGAAGGCCAAGAACAAUAGUUGGUAUGUCCAUGUCCGGGAAAGCAUCAUUCAGAGACCUUCUGGCACUUGUUCCCCUUCAGAAGCCAACUCUUGGACGGUUUUCGAAGGUACCUCCAUCUAGGCUAAAAGAUAGGAACUUGCCGGCACCUCCUUGGUCCCAAAUGUUGGGUUUCUUUAUGGUAUUGGUAAUGUAUGUGAUUCUAUUUAUAUAAGGUGGUGACAAAAGUUUGCCUUGGACCAUCAAAUGCUAACAAAAAUUACACUUUCGUAUAUAAAAUUACUCUUUCACAUUUAGAAAAAGCUAUUGAAAGAGCUCCUGUAUGCCUCCUAUUAACAUCCUAGUGGUAAAGCCAUCACUUUUUUUGGGCGAAGGUCGAGCCUUGAAGAAGACUUUUCAGGAACAAGAAAAUUACAUGGUCAUUUGGGACUUGAAAAAUGGAAGCCGAGGAAAUUGGAAGGAGGCGCUCGAUCCGACCACUAUUUCAAUCCUUUUGUCAUUUCAUCUUUUAUUUAUUUAUUUUAUUAAUUUUUUUUAACUGACAAAAACCAUUAUUAAUUAGUCAAUUAUUCUUAUAUAAUUAUCAUCUAGUGCUUUUGCA